AAGUUUGAAACAGAAAAUCAUGGUUUUCAUCUCGCCAAACUUUAUAUAGCUAAAAUUGUAAAAUUCUACUCCUUGUUACAAGUAUGGUAGAACCAUCACUUCUACAAGUAUUCUUUCUGAUUUAUCCCAAUUCCUUAGCAUAUCCAAAACCUCAGAACAACUAGAUGAUGUAAAAAACUAUGGACUCUCUUUUUUUUAGCAUUUUAGAUACAGUUGCUCCUUUACUCUUAAGGAAGAUUAAGGAAAACAGUCUGACACUGUGGUAUAAUGAGCACGCUUACACUCUAAAGAGAGCAGCCUGGAAAAUGGAGCACAGCUGGAGGAAAACAAAGCUAGAGGUCACCGUAGCCACCAGAUCCAGUCUGUAUCCAGAUCAGAUGGUCACUGCAGACACCCGGAUCCAGUACGUAUCCAGACCAGAUGGUGGAUCAGCACCUAGAGAGGACCUCUACAGCCCUGAAUGUCAGCUGAGACCAGGACAACUAGAUGAGCCCCAGAGACAGAUCCCCAGUAAAGACCUUUUCUCAGAUGGCCACCGUGACAAUACCACAGGAACCAGUUGAGUCCUCUGCACAAUGUGACUUUGCUGCAGCCUGGAAUUGAACUGCUGGUUUCAUCUGGCCAGAGGAGAACUGCCCCCCCCCCCUGACUGAGCCUGGUUUCUCCCAAGGUUUUUUCUCCAUUCUGUCACCGAUGGAGUUUUGGGUCCUUGCCGCUGUCACCUCUGGCUGGCUUAGUUGGGGACACUUAAUUUCCAGCAAUAUUGUUGACUUGAUUGCACAGAUACUAUUUAAAUUGAACUGAGCUGGAAAAUCACAUCUCUGAAUUCAAUGAUGAACUGCCUUUAACUGAAAAAUUAGUGUUUACUAUGUGAGUUGCGUACUUGAAAACAAAGCCCACUAGACAGUGACCAUGUGCUGACUCUAAAUGAGUCUCUCACAGACUGGCAAAGGAGUAUACUUUAAAGGCUUGUGCACUCAACUGUUUGCGAAAUGGAGCUUUGUGUUCGUGUAUCCUACCUCUCUCAUUCGGUACAAUCCAAAUAUUCCAUAAUAUUUCCAUAUUUGCGAUGUAGCGUAUCUGAAUGCUUAACUAUUAUUUAUUAUGUAAAUUACAGGCUUUGUACUUCAGUUCCAGCGGUGACACACUGCAUGGAAAGAGUGAAUUUCAUCAGUUAACAGCACUGUAAAUUGCCGUGGAAGUUUCAGGUUAACGACUUUUCACGGCAAUGUUCAGGCAGCACAGAUAAUUGUUGGGAAUGGACGAUAACUGACGUGGCAUUGUCUUG
ensembl:lncRNA